GAGGCUGCUGCCGCCCCAUCGAUGCUUCCGGUCCAGACAAGAAGCCAUCUUUUUGGAGGGAAGGCUUGGAGAAGAUGCCCGUUAACUUUGGGUGAUGCCACCUCUCCUCAUGAGGGUUCUUUUACGAGGAAAGAACCAGAGAGGAUCCAGACACAAUCCAUCCAUGAAUAUACUUUCUGCCAAGCCGGCCAAGGCCACUCAUUUGCCUGAAGAAAUUGGAAUAAUUAUGGUAGAGAGAAAUCGACAGUACUCAGGAUUUGGCUCUCAAAAUAGGAUCUUGUUUCAAGGCAAUCGGCUUGAGAGCAGUCUGCUUGGGCUGCCAUAAUGAAACACCACAGACUGGGCAACUAAAAGGAAACACAUUUAUUUGGCACAGUCUGGAGGCUGAAGGUCCUUGGAGUGACAGCAUGAUUGACUUCUGGAAGUAAAAAUGAGCCAGAGAAGCAUGGGAAUGUUGAACAACCUGCCCAAGAGCCACAGCACUUCACUAAGAAAGGAACAAAACCACUUGUGGUCAGUUUCACAGUCCCUUCCUUCUCAGACUCAAGAUUAGUGGUCCUAAAGCCUUGGUGUGCAACAGUUUUGUUAAAGUGGACUGCUGGCCCCAUCAAAAUCCCAGCACAAUUCUUCACAGACCUUGAAAGAACAAUAGUCAACUUCAUAUGGAAAAAACAAAAAACUCAGGAUAGCCCAAACAACCUGUAUAAUCAAGACUCAUCUGGGGGCAUCCCCAUCCCUGACUUCAAGCUCUACUAUAGAGUUGUAAUAAUGAAAACAACUUGGUAUUGGCAUAAAAACAGACAGGUAGACCAAUGGAAUUGAACUGAAGACCCUGAUAUUA